AGGGCUGAGCGGGGCAGUGCCUAAAAUGGCGGGGGGAGCCCGCCGCGGGGUUCCCUUGCCGCGUCGCCCCUCACAGCUUGCGCUUCUGCUGGGACAGCGCUGCUGCGGCAGGUGUCCGGCGGGGAGCCCGUGUCCUGGCCCGGGCAGGUGUCCGCAGCAGGGUGGCCGCUGGGGCUGCUUUAGAGUUCGUAUUGCAAGUUUUGAAUCAUCGAAUCGUAAUCAGAGAAUUACAGAAUGGUCUGGGUUGAAAAGCACCUCAAAGAUCACGGAGUUUCAACCCCCCUGCCGUGCGCAGCGCCAGAAGGUGAAGUGAACGGCCGUGAGUGUGGUGUGGCAUCACCGGGGUAUCGUGGUGAGGGUGUCUGAGGGGGGGAACACCUCCCACAUCACUUAUGUUUUUUUCCUGUGUUCUGCUGACACCGGUCACUGGUUGGGUUUGUAUUAGAGCAGCAACGCGUGUACUGAAGUAACAUUUUUAUCAGAACAGCCCAGCAGUGUGCUGUUUGAUCUGCUCUGUAUUAUAACAUUGCCAUGAUUCACACUGACCCACACCUCAGCUGGAACAGACCACGGUGUGUUAGCGAGGAAGGGGCUGAGGGGUGUUUUUGGGGCCUCAGUGCUCCUGCUGACUCAUAAAGUGUUUGUUUGCAUUUCCUAGGUUUCAAACUAUUCUUCAGUGUAUUGUCAUAUGAAAAACAGGCAGGUAUAUGUGUAAUGCUUGCUUAACCCACUGCAUUUGUGAGUAACUCAGCACAAGAGGGAUGUUUUUGCUGUCGGCCUCAUUUAGACUCAGGGAACACCAGGUUCCUUUCAUUUUCGCAAAUACGGAUUUCAGGAAUAAUGCAACCGAGCAUAAUGUGAUGCUAGCUGUGUUUUCACUUUAUAGACACAUAUUUUAAGAGUGUGCUUAGACUUGUAAAAAUCAAGUGUGCAAGUUAUCAAAUUCAGAAAUCAAAACCCUUUCAGCCAUAAUUCACACCUCUGGACAUGGAAGUGGCUUUCUGGUCACAUCAACGGUGUCCCCUCCUGCUUGGUCAGUAUGCAGAAUGCUUAGUGUUCAGCAGGUGGCUCUUUGUUGUUAGUUAGUCACUCAAAGCAUGUAUUUGCUCCUGUUUGUCAUCACUCACAGCUCCCGUUGGUUCCUAUUUGUCAUCUACCCAGUAAAGUCUGCUCAUCUGAAACUCAGCUCCCUCCUGAGCUCUGAAAAAGUCAUAGCCCAUCUCUGGACUCCACCAUCUUCUUUCUUACUUGCUGUGCUGUUCCGUUUACUAUUACAGACUGCUUCAUGAAUACUUAGUCUCCAGCUCCUAAUCACCUUGUUCAGUGAGCUGUUGUCUUCCCACCUGGGUUUUAUCUAAUCUCCCUUUCAAAUUGGCAUGCAUGUAUGUGCUGGCUUUCAGUUUCUAUGGUGGUUUCCCUCUCUUUCUAUGGUGGUUUCCCUCUCAGCUCUCAUCUGGGCCUGUUCCAGCCAGUGCUCUCAUGCUGUCUGCCAGCACUGAAUUUUCACUGCUCGUUAUUUCUUGAUUUAUUCUAUCCAGUCUGUCUUUUUGUUCCCUUUCCAUUCAAAGCAGAUGGCUUGUCCCUUAUUUGCCUGGAUCUAGCAACAGUGGAAGGAACUGAGAACAAGGUCACCUCUACCCGAGGGAUGCCUGUAGAAAGAGAAGGCUUAUAAGGGAAGAAGCAGUGUACUGUCUGCCAUCAUCAGCUGAAUCAAAGUGAGAAACAAGGGUUGCUGCAAGCUUUUCUGGAGGAAAAAAAACUGGGAUUACCUGUGUGCAGGCCCUCCAUUCAGGAGGAUGAAGGAAUGUAUGUAGAGUUCCCAAGAGCUGCUGCCUAACCCCAGAUUCCUAACAGAAAACCCUAACACGAUCGAAGAAUGGAAAGUACAGUGAUUUUAGACUUACAGUGGGAUGGAGAUUAAUUUGACUAGUGUAAUUAUUAUAGCCUUUUAUUUUGGUGAGGGAGCACACCAGGCCAGAUUGUCACUGUUGACUUUAUGUCUGUAUGUAGAGUUUAUCAUCUCUCACCUCAGUAGAGGAAUGCUGCUGUCUGCAGUGCAUUGCAGACUCAUGUCACACACGAAAUGGCAGGGCUUGCUUUCAGGAGGGAUUAGCUGUGAUGCUUCAGUGCAAGAGGGACCAUGAUCAUUACAAAGGGAAGAAUUCCUCAAAAUCUUGCUGAAACCUUUACAGAAUCUGUUUCAAAUAAAGCUACCCAUUUUUUUUUGCCAAGGUAUUUCCAGUAUUUUUCACAUUCGCAGAUCUACUGAGAACUAAUUUUUUCACAGUUCAGCAUGUUUUUCCAGAUCUGGUUACUAAUGAUCUCGCCAGCAAGCCAAAGUGCAACAGCUGUAUGUAAUCAUUGUAAUGCUCCCUCGUGGUGACUUGGGUUAUAGCAUGUUACUUUUGUUCACUUCUCCAGCUGUAUUAGCUACCACUAAACCAGGUCUACCGCUUGCUAAAUGCAAAAUAUCAUGCAAAAGCAUUAAGUGCAUGAGAGGUCUCAUUAAUACUUCUGUUUUCACUUCACUUGACAGGAUCAAACUGUGAUCAAAUAAAAAAUGUCGGUGAUUUAAAAAAAAAAAAAAAAAAAAAAGCAUUAGCAAGCAAUUUACUUGAAUAUCUCACCUGACCCUGCUCCCUCUUCCCCCAGCUGCAAGAGAUCUCCAUUGCAGAGCUGUAGGUGGUGACCUGCUGUCUCUAAAUCUUUCUGUCUGUCUCUGCAUCCCACCGCACCAUGGAAGAGAUCCAGUGGCAACAGCCUGUGUCAAACUGUCAUGAAAAUGUUUUAUGGUCAUGCUCAUGUUUCUGGAUGUAUUAAACUAAAUUUGGUAAACAGAGGUAACAGACAGCAACCCAUAUUUGUCUGCAGCCUAGCUGCAGGGAACAGGUUGUAGUGGCAACCAUGUGCUUGGAAUUAAUUGAUGCAGGUAAUGUGUGAAUGCACCAGUCCCUGCAAAAUGGUUGCCUUGCUAAAUCAAGCUAGACUUACGCCUGUGAAAUCAGUUUUACUAGUGACAGCAGCUAUAUGAGAUGUUUUGCCAACAGAAACCAUGCUGAUUACAAAUCUCACCCCCGCACAUCUCCAGCCAAUAUUUCUACAACACAGAUCUGCCAGGUUGGUAACAGAAGCAAGCUUUGAAAGGCUUUUUUGUCUGACACCUCCUCACUUCCAAAUAUUAUUGGGCACAAGUUUGUUUACUUCCUGCAUGCAGAAAAUGAUGCACAUUAAUCCUCACCUCGUGAAGAAAAUGAAGAAUGUGAAGAAGGCACAAGAAAAACAGCACAUGAACAUGGGUAGAUUUCAUUUCAUUGUACUCAGAUUUUCACUCCUCUGUGAAACAGUUAUUUUCUCAGCCAGCUAGCAAUGCAAGGGUGCAUUAAGCAUGAAAAGGUGGUUAGCUUUUCCUGUUAGCUUGAUUAUGCCAAUCUAAAUGCAGUAGUAACUUCCUCAAAUGGUGACCACAUUGCUUUACUGCUCCCCUUAGCAGUUAUAAGCUCAUUUUAAAUGUUCAGAUUUCUGAGACUGGCUCAAAAUAAACUGCUGCACGAACAGGUCCUUCCUUUAAAAGAAUUAUCUUGCCACAAAAUGCAGCAGCAAAAGCAGACACUGAGAAAUGCAGCAGUUCUAACUACAAAGUUGGUUGCACAGGAAUGAUAAGCUCAGUAAGACUUCAACUGUCACUUUCUGGGUUUGAGAGACUUGCCUAGUCAUGUUAGCAGUUUUCUAGUUCUUGCAGCAAGUGGGCCCUGCAGCAGCUCUCAUGUUUACUUUUACGGUCACAUAAAUCAUAGAAUUGCUCAGGUUGGAAAAGACCUUAAAGAUCAUUAAGUCUAACCAUGCUACCCUAACUCUAACAACCGUGCACUAAAUCAUGUCCCUGAGCACCACAUCCAAAUGGUUUUUAAACAUGUCCAGGGAUGGUGACUUAACCACCUCCCUGGGGAGUCUUUUCCAGUGCUUAACAACCCUUUCUGUAAAGAAGCUUUUCCUGAUAUCCAACCUAAACUUACCCUGGUGCAACUUGAGGCCAUUUCCCCUCGUCCUGUCACCACUGAGAAGAGACCAGCCCUGCUCUCACUGUAAGCACCUUUCAGAUAUUGGAAGAGAGCAAGGUCUCCCCUCAGCUUCCUUUUCCCCAGACUAAACAGCCCCAGGUCCCCCAUCCUCUCCUCACAGGGCAUAUUCUCCAAGCCCUUCACUAGCCUUGUUGUCCUCCAUUGGACCUGCUCCAGCACUUCAAUGUCCUUCCUGUACUGAGGUGCCCCAAACUGAACACAGUACUUGAGGUGAGACCUCAUCAAUGCUGAGUACAGAGGCAGGAUGACUUCCCUAGUCCUGCUCACCACACCAUUCCUGAUACAUGCUAGGAUGCCAUUGGCCUUCUUGGCCACCUGAGCACACUGCUGGCUCACAUUCAUCCGACGGCCCACAAGUACACCAGGUCCCUUUCCAUCAGGCAGCUUUCCAACCACUCUUCUCCAAGCCUGUAGGGUUGUCUGGGGUUUUUGGAAGUAUGACACUAGUUCUAUAAAGUUAAAAGAAGAAAUGCUUCAUUUGCUGUGGAAAAAAAAAAAAAAAAAGCAUUUGCUUAAUGUUAGCACAGGUAUUAUGCUGUGCAGGAAUUACUGGUCACCUCUAAACAUGCAGCAGAGAUAUGUACUUGCAGGCUUGCACUUGCAGAGGAUCAAUGUGAGUGCAAAAUCACUUUUGCACAUGGAAGGAUUGUGUUUUCAAAUAUGCUUAGACAAUAUAAAAACACUUUUCAAAGGCAACUUCAGCAUUUAGCCUAGUUAUGAAGAAGUCAAGAGAUGCACUUGGUUUGUAAAGCAUUUUUAUUAAAGGAUUUCAUGUUAA